GUGCCAGCCGCCGCGGUAAUACGGAGGGUGCAAGCGUUAUCCGGAUUCACUGGGUUUAAAGGGUGCGUAGGUGGGCUUGUAAGUCAGUGGUGAAAUCUCCGGGCUUAACUCGGAAACUGCCAUUGAUACUAUAAGUCUUGAAUACCAUGGAGGUGAGCGGAAUAUGUCAUGUAGCGGUGAAAUGCUUAGAUAUGACAUAGAACACCAAUUGCGAAGGCAGCUCGCUACGCGGUUAUUGACACUGAGGCACGAAAGCGUGGGGAUCAAACAGGAUUAGAUACCCCAGUAGUCC
rnacentral:rRNA from 1 species